rnacentral:rRNA from 1 species
AAGCGCUUGCAACCAGACUUGCGCGCGAUGGUUCCCCCUUCCUUCUGGUUGGGCUACUCCGUCGUGUCCAGGCCAACAUCGGUUCUGGGGGUCGGUUAAAGGCUCGGGGAAUGUAGCUUCUUUCGGGGAGUGUUAUAGCCCUCGGUGCAAUGCCGCCUACCUAGACCGAGGACCGCGCUUCGGCUAGGAUGCUGGCGUAAUGGUUGUAAGCGA